UACGGAGGGUGCAAACGUUGCUCGGAAUUAUUGGGCGUAAAGCGCACGUAGGCGGUCCGCUAAGUCGGAUGUGAAAGCCCUCGGCUUAACCGAGGAAGUGCAUCCGAAACUGACGGGCUAGAGUACGGAAGAGGGUUUCGGAAUUCCCGGUGUAGAGGUGAAAUUCGUAGAUAUCGGGAGGAACACCAGUGGCGAAGGCGGAAACCUGGGCCGAUACUGACGCUGAGGUGCGAAAAGCGUGGGGAGCAAA
rnacentral:rRNA from 1 species